rnacentral:rRNA from 1 species
UGUGAUUAAAGGUGACCUCUACACGUACGUUUCCACUUGGAGAUGAGCUUGCGGCCCAUUAGCUUGUUGGCGGGGUAACGGCCCACCAAGGCAGUGAUGGGUAUCCGGCCUGAGAGGGUGUACGGACACAUUGGGACUGAGAGACGGCCCAGACUCCUUCGGGAGGCAGCAGUAGGGAAUUUUGCGCAAUGGACGAAAGUCUGACGCAGCAACGCCGCGUGAGUGAUGAAGGUCUUCGGAUUGUAAAGCUCUGUUGAGUGGGAAGAAAAGUUCCGUUUUUAACAAAAACGGGGCCUGACGGUACCGCUCGAGGAAGCACCGGCUAACUACGUGCCAGCAGCCGCGGUAAUACGUAGGGUGCAAGCGUUGUUCGGAAUCACUGGGCGUAAAGGGAGCGUAGGCGGAGCCGUAAGUUGGAAGUUUAAUACCCGGGCUUAACCCGGGAUCUGCUUCCAAUACUGCGGCCCUUGAGUAAGGAAGAGGGAGAUGGAAUUCCAGGUGUAGCGGUGGAAUGCGUAGAUAUCUGGAAGAACACCGGCAGCGAAGGCGGUCUCCUGGUCCUAUACUGACGCUGAGGCUCGAAAGUUAGGGGAGCAAACAGGAUUAGAUACCCUGGUAGUCCUAACCGUAAACUAUGGAUACUAGAUGUUGGGGGAGUCAAUCCUUCCAGCGUCGUCGCUAACGCAUUAAGUAUCCCGCCUGGGGAGUACGCUCGCAAGGGUGAAACUCAAAGGAAUUGACGGGGGCCCGCACAAGCGGUGGAGCAUGUGCUUUAAUUCGAUGCAACGCGCAGAACCUUACCUACCCUUGACAUGUCCAGUAUGGUCACCAGAGAUGGAGUCCUUCAGUUCGGCUGGCUGGAACACAGGUGCUGCAUGGCUGUCGUCAGCUCGUGUCGUGAGAUGUUGGGUUAAGUCCCGCAACGAGCGCAACCCUCGCUUCUAGUUGCCAGCAUUCAGUUGGGCACUCUAGAGGGACUGCCGGUGAUAAGCCGGAGGAAGGUGGGGAUGACGUCAAGUCCUCAUGGCCCUUACGGGUAGGGCUACACACGUGCUACAAUGGCGGUGACAGUGGGCAGCGACACAGCGAUGUGAUGCUAAUCCCAAAAAAGCCGUCUCAGUUCAGAUUGCAGCCUGCAACUCGGCUGCAUGAAGUUGGAAUCGCUAGUAAUCGCUAAUCAGCAGGUAGCGGUGAAUACGUUCCCGGGCCUUGUACACACCGCCCGUCACACCAUGGGAGUUGGUCAUACCUGAAGACGGUGUUCUAACCUUAGCAAUAAGGGGGAAGCCGGCCACGGUGUGGUCAGCGACUGGGGU